rnacentral:rRNA from 1 species
GAUGAACGCUGGCGGCGUGCCUAAUACAUGCAAGUCGAGCGAACGGACGAGAAGCUUGCUUCUCUGAUGUUAGCGGCGGACGGGUGUGUAACACGUGGAUAACCUACCUAUAAGACUGGGAUAACUUCGGGAAACCGGAGCUAAUACCGGAUAAUAUUUUGAACCGCAGGGGGCAAAAGUGAAAUACGGUCUUGCGGUCACUUAUAGAGGGAUCCGCGCUGCAUUAGCUGGUUGGUAAGGUAACGGCUUACCAAGGCAACUAUGCAUAGCCGACGUGUGUGGCUGGUCGCCCACCCUGGAGCUGAGACGCGGUCCAUACUCCUACGGGACGGCCCAGUAUCCUAUCUUCCGCAGCGGUCGAAAACAUUGCACAGCGGCGCCGCGCGUGUUGUGGCAGUCCUCCGAUCGUAAAACUGUCUUAUUAGUUGUAAACAUCUGUGUCCGGAGCUGUACAGUUCUUGACGGUACCUAGUCAGAAAGCCCCGGCUAACUACGUG